ACAGAGAUUAAAACAGAACAAUUAAAUUAAAACUAAAACUAAUUCUCUCGGCUCACUACACUCACUCUAUCUCGCAUCUCUCUCUCACUCUCUAUCUCCCAUCUCUCAAAUUUCAGAUCUCUCAUUCAUCUCUCCCGUCUCAUUCUUUCAUUCCUUUCAUCUCUCCCAUCUCACUCUUUCAUCUCUCAAAACUUGUCUCGGAGCUUAUCUUGGUGCUUAUACAAGGAAAGGGUCCGACGAUUUUAUAGCAGGAGCUUGUCUCGGAGUUUUAGUUCUUGUCUCAAGGCUCAGUAGCUUUCUCCGCAUAGCCUGAAUUUGGUCUGACUAUAACAUUAUGAGCUAAUAUAUCUACACUAACAAAAGCAAAGGAGAAGGAGAUGGAUUCUUGGAAAAAUAUAAGAUCAAGUGAUUAACUCUCUAUAUCAGCAGCCUCGCCAUCAAGAGAAACAAAGGUCGGUGAAGCAGAGGUAGCGCAGAGCAAGCAAGAUUGUAAUGUAGCCAGUUUGACAGAUGCCACACCUGAUAAUACUGCAGAAGAUGUUUUUGACCAGCCCUCUAGUACCCCUCGAUAUACCUAUCACAGUGAAGAUGAAACCCGAGAAUUAUCAAGUAUAAAUUUUCAAUACAAUGCUCCUCCAUCAACACCUCAGUGGGGAAGGGAGAUCCAAGAACUUGCAGCCACCAAAAUCCAGUUAGCCUUUUGGGUUUGUCUUGAAAGAAAAGCUUUAUGGGCAUUGAAGGGAAUUAUUAGGCUUCAAGCUAUUAUCAGAUGUGUACUUGUUCGGCGCCAGGCUAUCACCACGCUGAAUCAGUUGCAAUCAGUUGUAAAUAUUGAGUCACAGGAACGUGCAAAACGUGGCCAAAUUAAUGGCAGAUAGCAAUUCUUAUUCUCAAGGAAACAAAGAGCCAGUAGAAUUUAAAGGCAAGGACAUUAAGGUAUCUUGUUUUCAAGAGAAAAAGAAUCAAAGAGUACACUUUCAGCAAUAGAAGGUCGGCAGAACUAGAGCAGAACAAAAUAGAUGGAAGAUGGAGAUACUGGCUAGAACAACAGGUGGAUUCCAGGUUAGCUAAAACGGAGGAUCUACAAAACCUUGUAUCAGUUUUCUCAAUGAGGGAUAAAAAUGAAGACAAUGAACCUGGGGUAAAACAAAUGAGGUCAAGAAAUGUUCAUAAGCAAUCUCACAAUGCAGAACAUGAAAUGCCAACAAGAAGAUCAAUACAUCAUCGGAAGCAACAUUCAACAGGAGAUGCAUGGAUAUUCUACUAGAGGGGGAUCUCCUGUUGUCACUGAUUAACUUUUAUUUAGGUUGUAAUUGCUUAACUUUUAUUUAGGUUGCAUAUUAUGAUGAAUUUGUAUUUUGGAGAAUUUGGAGCAUCUAGUUGUGUUUUGAAGAAACUGAUAUAGUUUGGAGUUGUGGAAUUAAUUGUUAGUUUUUGAGAA